AAUUUGCAGCCCGACUUGAGUGGAGCUCUUUUUUGUGGAGCGCAGCGGAAUAAAAAAAGCGGGAACGGAAGGCGGAAAAGCUG
rnacentral:misc_RNA from 1 species